GUGGGAGAGGCUUAGUGGUUUGGCGUGAGAUUGCAACUUUCCGUCCCCAUCGGGAAUCUAAGAUCUUGAGGUCGUGGGUUCGAUUCCCACCUUCCACU
rnacentral:tRNA from 1 species